AAUAAGUGCAGCCAUGAGUUUUCGUGUCCAACUUUGAUCGUCCGUCUUAUUUAAAUUUUUUUUAUAAUUAGCAUUUUUGUUGUUAUAAGAUGAUAAAACAUGAAUAGUACUUUACUCGUGAAUUAUGUUUUUAAUUUUUUUAAAAAAAUUUUCAAAUAAGACGAACGGUCAGAGUUGAACGCGGAAAACCAUGGCUGCACUUAUU
rfam:Oryza barthii chromosome 10, whole genome shotgun sequence.